CCUACGGGGGGCAGCAGUGGGGAAUAUUGGACAAUGGGGGCAACCCUGAUCUAGCCAUGCCGCGUGUGUGAAGAAGGCCCUCGGGUUGUAAAGCACUUUCAGUGAGGAAGAACGCCUGGUGGUUAAUACCCAUCAGGAAAGACAUCACUCACAGAAGAAGCACCGGCUAACUCCGUGCCAGCAGCCGCGGUAAUACGGAGGGUGCGAGCGUUAAUCGGAAUUACUGGGCGUAAAGCGCGCGUAGGUGGCUUGAUAAGCCGGUUGUGAAAGCCCCGGGCUCAACCUGGGAACGGCAUCCGGAACUGUCAAGCUAGAGUGCAGGAGAGGAAGGUAGAAUUCCCGGUGUAGCGGUGAAAUGCGUAGAGAUCGGGAGGAAUACCAGUGGCGAAGGCGGCCUUCUGGACUGACACUGACACUGAGGUGCGAAAGCGUGGGUAGCAAACAGGAUUAGAUACCCCUGUAGUC
rnacentral:rRNA from 1 species